rnacentral:rRNA from 1 species
UAGGGAAUCUUCCACAAUGGGCGCAAGCCUGAUGGAGCAACGCCGCGUGAAUGAUGAAGGCCUUCGGGCUGUAAAAUUCUGUCUUCUGUGAAGAACAAGUGUGAGAAGGGAAUGCUCACACCCUGACGGUAACAGAGGAGGAAGCCCCGGCUAACUACGUGCCAGCAGCCGCGGUAAUACGUAGGGGGCGAGCGUUGUCCGGAAUCACUGGGCGUAAAGCGCGCGCAGGCGGCCAUCUACGUCUGGGGUGAAAGCCCAAGGCUCAACCUUGGGAUUGCCUUGGAUACGGGAGGGCUUGAGGAGCGGAGAGGCAAGGGGAAUUCCACGUGUAGCGGUGAAAUGCGUAGAGAUGUGGAGGAACACCCGUGGCGAAGGCGCCUUGCUGGCCGAUUUCUGACGCUGAGGCGCGAAAGCCAGGGGAGCGAACC